rnacentral:misc_RNA from 1 species
GAAAUGCGAUACUUGGUGUGAAUUCCAGAAUCUCAUGAACCAUCGAGUCUUUGAACGCAAGUUGCGCCCGAAACCUUUUGGUCGAGGGCACGUCUGCCUGGGCGUCACGCAUCGCAUCUCCCCCAACCCACCUCGUGUGGGACGGGGGGAGGAGGAUGGCUUCCCGCGCCUCACCGGGCGUGGCUGGCCUAAAUAGGAGCCUCAGGUUAUGCACUGAUGCGGCUAUUGGUGGUAGACAAGGCCUUGGCCUCGAAUGCAAUCCCGUGUCGUGCAGUACAUGGCAAUUGUGGGCUCGUAGGACCCUGAGUUGUUCCCAAUCGGAAACAAACCGUUGCAACCCCAGGUUAGGCGGGGCUACCCACUGAGUUUAA